rnacentral:rRNA from 1 species
UAGGGAAUCUUCCGCAAUGGAUGCAAGUCUGACGGAGCAACGCCGCGUGAGUGAAGAAGGAUUUCGGUUCGUAAAACUCUGUUGUUAGAGAAGAACAGCGCAUAGAGUAACUGUUAUGCGUGUGACGGUAUCUAACCAGAAAGCCACGGCUAACUACGUGCCAGCAGCCGCGGUAAUACGUAGGUGGCAAGCGUUGUCCGGAUUUAUUGGGCGUAAAGCGAGCGCAGGCGGUCAAUUAAGUCUGAUGUGAAAGCCCCCGGCUCAACCGGGGAGGGUCAUUGGAAACUGGUUGACUUGAGUGCAGAAGAGGAGAGUGGAAUUCCAUGUGUAGCGGUGAAAUGCGUAGAUAUAUGGAGGAACACCAGUGGCGAAGGCGACUCUCUGGUCUGUAACUGACGCUGAGGUUCGAAAGCGUGGGUAGCAAACAGG